ACUUUUCAAGGCUGCCUGUUCUGUUGUGUGCUUUCCGUGCUAGUUAUCGCUGGAGACGUCAGUACUAUUAUUAUACUUUUGAGUGUACUACGUUUCGAUGCUCCCUGUGAAGGUGGCAAGCGUCCAUGGUCUAUCGGCCCUCAAGCAGACAUGGGACAUCAACGACGUAUACGAGUGCAGUGUGUUGACAUCGCAGGCACGCUUUCGGCAAUGGCCACGCGUUGACUUCUUCGCCUCUCGCGGCGGGACGGUCGCCACAUCAUCAUGGGCGAUGCGCUGGACGGUGAGGACUUUGUUGAGGCACCGGAGCAGCUGACCACACCUGAAAUGACGGAUACCAUCACCAGCUAAGCACAGGCACCGCUCAGCGACGUCACCGAAAGAGCAUCAAGAUAAGCAGGGACCACACCGCUCUUUGCCAUUCUGAGGAAGAAACACUUGGGCAAGCCGUGUAUCUGCUGCCAAGAGCUUCUUCAGCAUGACAGCACACCUAAAGAUGCACCCAGGCGAUUAA
rnacentral:lncRNA from 1 species